rnacentral:rRNA from 1 species
AAAUUGAAGAGUUUGAUCAUGGCUCAGAUUGAACGCUGGCGGCAGGCCUAACACAUGCAAGUCGAGCGGUAGCACAGAGAGCUUGCUCUCGGGUGACGAGCGGCGGACGGGUGAGUAAUGUCUGGGAAACUGCCUGAUGGAGGGGAUAACUACUGGAAACGGUAGCUAAUACCGCAUAAUGUCGCAAGACCAAAGUGGGGGACCUUCGGGCCUCAUGCCAUCAGAUGUGCCCAGAUGGGAUUAGCUAGUAGGUGGGGUAACGGCUCACCUAGGCGACGAUCCCUAGCUGGUCUGAGAGGAUGACCAGCCACACUGGAACUGAGACACGGUCCAGACUCCUACGGGAGGCAGCAGUGGGGAAUAUUGCACAAUGGGCGCAAGCCUGAUGCAGCCAUGCCGCGUGUGUGAAGAAGGCCUUCGGGUUGUAAAGCACUUUCAGCGGGGAGGAAGGCGUUAAGGUUAAUAACCUUGGCGAUUGACGUUACCCGCAGAAGAAGCACCGGCUAACUCCGUGCCAGCAGCCGCGGUAAUACGGAGGGUGCAAGCGUUAAUCGGAAUUACUGGGCGUAAAGCGCACGCAGGCGGUCUGUCAAGUCGGAUGUGAAAUCCCCGGGCUCAACCUGGGAACUGCAUUCGAAACUGGCAGGCUAGAGUCUUGUAGAGGGGGGUAGAAUUCCAGGUGUAGCGGUGAAAUGCGUAGAGAUCUGGAGGAAUACCGGUGGCGAAGGCGGCCCCUGGACAAAGACUGACGCUCAGGUGCGAAAGCGUGGGGAGCAAACAGGAUUAGAUACCCUGGUAGUCCACGCCGUAAACGAUGUCGAUUUGGAGGUUGUGCCCUUGAGGCGUGGCUUCCGGAGCUAACGCGUUAAAUCGACCGCCUGGGGAGUACGGCCGCAAGGUUAAAACUCAAAUGAAUUGACGGGGCCCGCACAAGCGGUGGAGCAUGUGGUUUAAUUCGAUGCAACGCGAAGAACCUUACCUGGUCUUGACAUCCACAGAACUUUCCAGAGAUGGAUUGGUGCCUUCGGGAACUGUGAGACAGGUGCUGCAUGGCUGUCGUCAGCUCGUGUUGUGAAAUGUUGGGUUAAGUCCCGCAACGAGCGCAACCCUUAUCCUUUGUUGCCAGCGGUCCGGCCGGGAACUCAAAGGAGACUGCCAGUGAUAAACUGGAGGAAGGUGGGGAUGACGUCAAGUCAUCAUGGCCCUUACGACCAGGGCUACACACGUGCUACAAUGGCAUAUACAAAGAGAAGCGACCUCGCGAGAGCAAGCGGACCUCAUAAAGUAUGUCGUAGUCCGGAUUGGAGUCUGCAACUCGACUCCAUGAAGUCGGAAUCGCUAGUAAUCGUAGAUCAGAAUGCUACGGUGAAUACGUUCCCGGGCCUUGUACACACCGCCCGUCACACCAUGGGAGUGGGUUGCAAAAGAAGUAGGUAGCUUAACCUUCGGGAGGGCGCUUACCACUUUGUGAUUCAUGACUGGGGUGAAGUCGUAACAAGGUAACCGUAGGGGAACCUGCGGUUGGAUCACCUCCUUACCUUAAAGAA